UACGGGGGGGGCAAGCGUUGUUCGGAAUUACUGGGCGUAAAGGGCUCGUAGGCGGCCAGCUAAGUCUGACGUGAAAUCCCUCGGCUCAACCGGGGAACUGCGUCUGAUACUGGAUGGCUUGAGUUUGGGAGAGGGAUGCGGAAUUCCAGGUGUAGCGGUGAAAUGCGUAGAUAUCUGGAGGAACACCGGUGGCGAAGGCGGCAUCCUGGACCAACACUGACGCUGAGUGAGCGAAAGCCAGGGGAGCAAACGGG
rnacentral:rRNA from 1 species